rnacentral:rRNA from 1 species
GGGUUGUGAGGUUAAGCGACUAAGCGUACACGGUGGAUGCCCUGGCAGUCAGAGGCGAUGAAGGACGUGCUAAUCUGCGAAAAGCGCCGGCGAGGUGAUAUGAACCUUUGACCCGGCGAUGUCCGAAUGGGGAAACCCAGUGUGUUCCGACACACUAUCGUUAACUGAAUACAUAGGUUAACGAGGCGAACCGGGGGAACUGAAACAUCUAAGUACCCCGAGGAAAAGAAAUCAACCGAGAUUCCCCCAGUAGCGGCGAGCGAACGGGGAGCAGCCCAGAGUCUGAAUCAGCUUGUGUGUUAGUGGAAGCGUCUGGAAAGUCGCACGGUACAGGGUGACAGUCCCGUACACGAAAGCACACAGGCUGUGAACUCGAAGAGUAGGGCGGGACACGUGGUAUCCUGUCUGAAUAUGGGGGGACCAUCCUCCAAGGCUAAAUACUCCUGACUGACCGAUAGUGAACCAGUACCGUGAGGGAAAGGCGAAAAGAACCCCGGCGAGGGGAGUGAAAAAGAACCUGAAACCGUGUACGUACAAGCAGUGGGAGCCUCUUUUAUGGGGUGACUGCGUACCUUUUGUAUAAUGGGUCAGCGACUUAUAUUCUGUAGCAAGGUUAACCGUAUAGGGGAGCCGAAGGGAAACCGAGUCUUAACUGGGCGUUAAGUUGCAGGGUAUAGACCCGAAACCCGGUGAUCUAGCCAUGGGCAGGUUGAAGGUUGGGUAACACUAACUGGAGGACCGAACCGACUAAUGUUGAAAAAUUAGCGGAUGACUUGUGGCUGGGGGUGAAAGGCCAAUCAAACCGGGAGAUAGCUGGUUCUCCCCGAAAGCUAUUUAGGUAGCGCCUCGUGAACUCAUCUUCGGGGGUAGAGCACUGUUUCGGCUAGGGGGCCAUCCCGGCUUACCAACCCGAUGCAAACUACGAAUACCGAAGAAUGUUAUCACGGGAGACACACGGCGGGUGCUAACGUCCGUCGUGAAGAGGGAAACAACCCAGACCGCCAGCUAAGGUCCCAAAGUCAUGGUUAAGUGGGAAACGAUGUGGGAAGGCACAGACAGCCAGGAUGUUGGCUUAGAAGCAGCCAUCAUUUAAAGAAAGCGUAAUAGCUCACUGGUCGAGUCGGCCUGCGCGGAAGAUGUAACGGGGCUAAACCAUGCACCGAAGCUGCGGCAGCGACACUAUGUGUUGUUGGGUAGGGGAGCGUUCUGUAAGCCGUUGAAGGUGUCCUGUGAGGGGUGCUGGAGGUAUCAGAAGUGCGAAUGCUGACAUAAGUAACGAUAAAGCGGGUGAAAAGCCCGCUCGCCGGAAGACCAAGGGUUCCUGUCCAACGUUAAUCGGGGCAGGGUGAGUCGACCCCUAAGGCGAGGCCGAAAGGCGUAGUCGAUGGGAAACAGGUUAAUAUUCCUGUACUUGGUGUUACUGCGAAGGGGGGACGGAGAAGGCUAUGUUAGCCGGGCGACGGUUGUCCCGGUUUAAGCAUGUAGGCGGAGGUUCCAGGUAAAUCCGGUUCCUUAUUAACGCUGAGGUGUGAUGACGAGGCACUACGGUGCUGAAGUAACAAAUGCCCUGCUUCCAGGAAAAGCCUCUAAGCAUCAGGUAACAUCAAAUCGUACCCCAAACCGACACAGGUGGUCAGGUAGAGAAUACCAAGGCGCUUGAGAGAACUCGGGUGAAGGAACUAGGCAAAAUGGUGCCGUAACUUCGGGAGAAGGCACGCUGAUAUGUAGGUGAAGCCCCUGCGGGUGGAGCUGAAAUCAGUCGAAGAUACCAGCUGGCUGCAACUGUUUAUUAAAAACACAGCACUGUGCAAACACGAAAGUGGACGUAUACGGUGUGACGCCUGCCCGGUGCCGGAAGGUUAAUUGAUGGGGUUAGCGGUAACGCGAAGCUCUUGAUCGAAGCCCCGGUAAACGGCGGCCGUAACUAUAACGGUCCUAAGGUAGCGAAAUUCCUUGUCGGGUAAGUUCCGACCUGCACGAAUGGCGUAAUGAUGGCCAGGCUGUCUCCACCCGAGACUCAGUGAAAUUGAACUCGCUGUGAAGAUGCAGUGUACCCGCGGCAAGACGGAAAGACCCCGUGAACCUUUACUAUAGCUUGACACUGAACACUGGUCCUUGAUGUGUAGGAUAGGUGGGAGGCUUUGAAGCGUGGACGCCAGUCUGCGUGGAGCCAACCUUGAAAUACCACCCUUUAAUGGCUGGUGUUCUAACGUAGACCCGUAAUCCGGGUUGCGGACAGUGUCUGGUGGGUAGUUUGACUGGGGCGGUCUCCUCCCAAAGAGUAACGGAGGAGCACGAAGGUUAGCUAAUCCUGGUCGGACAUCAGGAGGUUAGUGCAAUGGCAUAAGCUAGCUUGACUGCGAGAGUGACGGCUCGAGCAGGUGCGAAAGCAGGUCAUAGUGAUCCGGUGGUUCUGAAUGGAAGGGCCAUCGCUCAACGGAUAAAAGGUACUCCGGGGAUAACAGGCUGAUACCGCCCAAGAGUUCAUAUCGACGGCGGUGUUUGGCACCUCGAUGUCGGCUCAUCACAUCCUGGGGCUGAAGUAGGUCCCAAGGGUAUGGCUGUUCGCCAUUUAAAGUGGUACGCGAGCUGGGUUUAGAACGUCGUGAGACAGUUCGGUCCCUAUCUGCCGUGGGCGCUGGAGAAUUGAGGGGGGCUGCUCCUAGUACGAGAGGACCGGAGUGGACGCAUCACUGGUGUUCGGGUUGUCAUGCCAAUGGCACUGCCCGGUAGCUAAAUGCGGAAGAGAUAAGUGCUGAAAGCAUCUAAGCACGAAACUUGCCCCGAGAUGAGUUCUCCCUGAGACUUUAAGUCUCCUGAAGGAACGUUGAAGACUACGACGUUGAUAGGUCGGGUGUGUAAGCGCAGCGAUGCGUUGAGCUAACCGAUACUAAUGAACCGUGAGGCUUAACCUUACAACGCCGAAG